AUUGAACGCUGGCGGCAGGCCUAACACAUGCAAGUCGAGCGGAGCGGCGGACGGGUGAGUAAGGCCUAAGAAUCGGACUGGGCGUGGGGGAUGACGUCAGGAAAGGGGCGAUAAUACCGAAUACUAAUGCAUGAGCAUAGGUCGGCUUGGCUAGUUGGUGGGGUAAAGGGCGACCAAGGCGACGAUCCGUAACUGGUCUGAGAGGAUGAACAGUCACACUGGAACUGAGACACGGUCCAGACUCCUACGGGAGGCAGCAGUGGGGAAUAUUGGACAAUGGGCGAAAGCCUGAUCCAGCCAUGCCGCGUGUGUGAAGAAGGUCUUCGGAUUGUAAAGCACUUUAAGUUGGGAGGCGUUACCAACAGAAUAAGCACCGGCUAACUUCGUGCCAGCAGCCGCGGUAAUUC
rnacentral:rRNA from 1 species